CUUGACAACAGAAUGCCAGGGUAGGUACUCAAGGUACACUGUAAUAGAACUAGGCAAUAGUUUCAUAUUCUAGCUACUGCCAGGUAUAGAUUAACAGGUAAAAGAGUUUAAUUCUUGUUGCUAUAUAAACAAAAGCCAAGAGUGAGAUGGAUGACAGGCUUGUAAAUGAAUUCUAGAACUCCAGAUCCCCUCACUGAAAUGCCACAGUGAUGCUGCACCCCUUCCUAAUAUGCCCCCAAACCCUAGCCCUUUCCAGGUUGCACUGAUCAGAAGCCAGCCCUGCAACGGGAAUCAGCCCAGCUUCCAGAAGACACUGAAAACUCACCAGGAAUGUGGAAAGCCUAAUAUAGCCCCUUGAACAUGAUGGGUUUCUAUUCAGCUUUAAAACUUUGUGGUCCUCUUCGAUCCUAUGUUGCUCCCUCCAUCUCUUAUCCAGGGCCACCCAAGUCACCCUGCCCUGCCCAACAAGAGGUAAUUCCCAUGGCUGGUGCCUUCCUCCCCAUUCUUAUCACUAACACUUCAGGUCAAGGCCCACUGUACAGAUUAGUGCCUUCAUCAGUCUUGUCCAAUCCAUCUUGGCCACCAAUGCCAGACUGAUAGUCUAAAAACAAAAUACACCAUGACUCUCCCUGCCUCUAAACCUAUGGUCUCAUUAGUAGACUGAAAAAUUCCACAAGCCUAGCAUUAAACCCUACACAGUCUGGCUUUACCUACCCUCUCAGCUUUAUCUUCUACUUCCUAUAAUCCCCCAUUUGUGCAUUCUUGCCUCUACCACAUAUUAUCAAUUCACCAGACCUUGUGAAAACCUUGAAACUUGCCCAGCUAUGCAUCCUACUUCAAGUUUCUUCCCUAGCAGGAUAUCAUACGUCCCCCUCCCCACACACACCACUUUUAAUGUAACUAAGACUUCUCAAAUUUGACCUAAAAUUUUGGUCAGCACCUCCUGAUCAAAUCUGGUAGCCACCCUGGACAUCUUGCUGUUCUUCAAAUAUGCCAAGCACAUUCCUGGCUCAGGGCCUUUGCUCAUUCCCUUUUAUUCCCUCUGCCUGAAAUGUUUUUCUACCAGGUAUCUGCCUAAAAUGUUCUUCAUCUAGAUAUCCAAAUGGCUCACUCCUUUGCUUCAUUUCUCUGUUUAGAUGUCAUUAACCAGGGAAACUUCCCUGACCUCCCACUGUUCUGGGACUUUAUCCUACUUAUUUCUCUCUUCAGAGCAUUUAUCCCUCCCUGAUGUCUGAUAUUCAAAUAUUUACAUAUUGUCUAUCUCUCCCACCAGAACACACACUCCAUUAGGAAAGGGAUUUGGUCUGUUUUGUUUCCUGCUAUAUCCCCCAGGGCCUAGAAGUUCUUGGAACAUAGUACAAACUCAAUAUAUAUUUGUUGGAAUGGAUGUUUGAAUAGAGUUCUCCCCUACUUUGAAAUUCUAUAAUGUUGUCACAUGCAGGCCUUCUAAUAGUUUGUCUUGAUUUGCCCAUUUUUUUCUUAAUUACUCUCAAGAGACGUGAAUCUCUCAAAGGGACAAACCAUAUAUUUAUUCAUUUCCACAAAUAUUUAUUAAGGACUUCUUUUUGUGUGCCCAACUCUGUAUAUCUCAAGCAGCCUAGAAUAUCAGAAAGAGCACUGGAAGAGAGAUCCUAGAUUAGUCUUGGCUCUACCAUUAGUUGAGUGACCCUGAACAAAUUCAUUUUUCUCCCUGGGUUUCUUCAUAUGUAAAACACGGAGAGUUACAUUAUCUUAAGUCUGUCCUGGUUCUGGCAUCUGUUAAAAUUUUUUGGAGGUAAAACUUGGCCUACCCCAGUGCUUUAGACAUCACAGGUACUCAGUAAAUAUUUGGUUUCUUUGUUGUAGAUUCUCCUGUUACACAGGAAUCUGAGUUGUCUUGGAACAGUUUGGACAGAACAAGUAAAAGUUUAAGUCCCACUUCCUUUUCUGACUCUGAGAGACAACCUCAUUCUGGUGUUCGUGAGAGGAUAAAGCACUGAAUUUGAAGUUGGAAAAUAUGAACUCUGACCAUUGCCAUUUACUUGGCUAUAGAACCUUGAACAGGCCAUUUUGGAGCCUGAGUCUCACCACACAUGAAAAUAACCAUAUUGGCCUACUCUCAACUCUUCAAAGGCACCUUUUUAUGCUGUUCUAUCUACCUGGAACGAUCUUUGCCCUUUCUUUGCUGGACUGAUUUCUUCUUAUCCUCAAGGAUCAGCAUAAACUUGCUUUUUUUUUUUUUUUUUAUAAACUUGCUUUUUAAAGGAAAAGUAUUCUCUAUUUACUUUCCCCACCCCUGGUGUACUCUUACAGCAUUUACCUCCAUUGUUUAUCUCAAUUAUUACAGCAUUUAUGUCCAUUGUUACCUCUAUUAUUUACUAUCCAUCUCUAGGACUGUAACCACCACAAAGGUAAGGAUUGUGUCCAUUUUGUUUAUUAUUAUACUACUUAGCGCUUGGUUAGGUGCAUGGCACAGAAGUAUCCAACAAAUAUUUUUAUGGACAAAUGUCUAAACUAAUGGACCCAGACAUUUUAAUACCUCCAGAAAGCUUUUUGGUUCACUUGGAGAAUCUAAUAAACACAAUUACACUCUAAGAUCUUUUACAAGUUUCUGAGAAUCAAGGUUCAAAACAGGGAACUUACAUACACAGAAGUUAGAAAAAGUCACUGGAAAUCAUUUGAGCUGAAGAAUUCUGGAGGCUAAAAACAUGAAAGAGAAAGGACAGGGAAUAUCUAUACCCCUGGCUGUCUUUCUCCAGAAGCCUAUUAUCAAGAAUGAGGAGAAAAAUCCCAUGCUUCCAUGGGAGGAAGUGACCCAUUGGUGGCCUGGUCCUUGUAUUCAGGAUGGAGGAAGUGACUGUCCACAGGCUGAAAGCCAGGAAGUAGGGGCAGAUAUCCAAGACAGCGUCCCUCCUCCACCAUUCCCUUCUGCCACCUCUAGAAAGCUUCUGGAUGCUGACCUGGUCGACCUAGAGGCUGGGCCACCCACACAGGUGGCUGGGAAACAUAGUCAACAGAAAGUCCUGGUGCAAGGAGGACAGGAGAGGAGGGCAGGAAGCUGAAGCGUGGUGUGUGACGUGACUGGAAAGGGACUGCAGGCCAGGCUAACCUAACCCUGAAGCUACCCUUCACCUUGGACAUCUCUUCCUUCCAAGCGGUGUUUGGCCACAUUUCUAGUUCCUCUCAGAGGGGCCAAGGGAGGACCCGGCUCCCAAGGAGGGCAAAGAACCCCACAGGGCCUACCUUCCCCAGGAAGAAUGCUCCAAUCUCUUCCUAACCCCUAAUCUGUGUCCUAAACCCCAAGGGAACCCACACUCCUGGAUCCUGCAAAGAGCUGCAAGACCAGGGGAUCACAGGCACCAAGAUACCCGCGAGAAGCCUUGGAUCCGGUCGGAAAAGUCAUACUAUCCUCCACUUUCCACAGAAAACCCCAAACCCAAGACUGGAUUUAGGUCAUGAGAAAAGCAUCCAAAUGACCAGGAAGAGGCAGGGAAUGGGCCCAAGGAAAUGGAUCAUGACGCCCCCACUAAGGACAAAGUUCAAUCCUGCUGCAUCUGGUCCCAGCCCUCCAGUAAACAAAGGCUAAUUCCACUUCUUUCACAUCUCCAGCCUCCUGGUGUUCACUAGCAGGGAGAUAACCGACUCCCCCAAGUUCCUUCCAGGGAAGUGUAGCUAACGCUUGAGAAAUGCAAAUUCAAAUGUGAAGAAAGAAAUCUGUAGAAAUGAUAACGAAGAGAGACUGUUCCAAUAUAUUUCCAAAGAAUAGUCCAAGAUCACCUGUGAACUUGAGGGAGGCUUCUGGAGGACAGAAAAGUUCUAGGUAGGGAGAUGUGGGUUUCGAGCACCCAAGUCACCAGUUUGCUUACCUGACCAUAGUUUGGUCAGUCUCACUUUGCAGCCUUCUCUCUUCCCUACUCCCUUCACUCCAGGACUCUGCUUUUUCCUAAAUAAAUUCUGCCCUUAUACCACUCUCCCAUUCCUACAACCUUUCCAUGUUCUCUGUAAUUUUGUUGCCCUAUUCUACCCAGAAGUGCACUCUUGUUUCUAAACGCUUAACGCAUUUUCAGUUAUAUCAUUUUGCAAACCCUGUGAAUUAAUCUAAAUCUGCACUGUUUCAUAUGACAGCCAUUAACCACAUGUGGCUAAGUUAAAAUGAAACAGAACUGAAAAUUAAGUUCCUCAGUCCAUUGGCUAUGUUUCAUGUGCUUGCUUAGCCACAUGUGUCUAGUGGUUACUGUGCUGGACAGUGCAGAUAGAGAACAUCUCCAUCAUGGCAGAAAAUUCUGUUGGACAGUGCUAUUUUAGACAAUGCUCAGUAAGGGGUGCUAACAUCACAAAGAGGGACUACUAGGCAUUAUGUGCCUCUUGAAAUGAUGCAACAAGAUGUAUACACUACCAUUUAUGACAUAGUUAUACCAAAAAUCCAAGCCUGAAUCUGGCCAAGCUUCUGGAUAUAACAACCAAUUUACAGGAAAUAAAAGAGUAAGAGGAGCUUAUUAAUACCACAGUGAUGCAUACAGCAAAACUGAGACUGUGGGAAACUCAAGAGGACAAAUGAACUGGUUUCUUUAACAGAUAAACUGCAAGAGAAAGAGGAGAGGAACCUCUGGAUGUAACAGGUUUCAGAGACAGCCAAUAGCAGGGUAUGGAUCUGAUUUGGGUCUCAAAGCAAGCAAACUGAACAAAAACAGUUGACACAACUAGAAGAUUUGAGCAAUGAUUGGAUAUAUGAUACGUUAAAGAAUUAAUGUUAAUUUUUAAGGAGUUCUUGGAAAUCCCUCUUUUGCAUUUCCUACCAAAUUUUGGUGCUAUUCAUCUUGGUAACUUAGGUCAAAAUGGGAGAGAGGGAGAAGAGAGACCUUUUCAGAGCGAUGACCUGUAGCUCUGGUGUGCUGGGGAGCCUGAGGCUGAGCCAGAUCGAUCUUUGGAACAAAUGAUUAAAAAAAAAAAUAAGAAAAUGCAUGGGGUCAACUGUUCUCCACAAAGAGAUGACUGGCCUUCACUUGUGAGUCUUUUCCAAGUCAUGAAAGUGGCUGUUCCCUAUCCCAUACCAAGCAGCCUAGCAUCCAGCUACAAAUGGCACUACCUAUAAAGCCUAACAGCAUAUAUUAACAAGAGAGCAAGCCUAUAGAGAAGAAAAAUAAUCAGUUUUCCAUCUUCUCAGUGCAGAGAUGCCUCCUACUCAGACCCAGCAUGGUUGAGUCUGAGGGCUCCUGGGACCGAGGCUGCCUUACCCAGGCAGGUGCAACUGUUUCAUCAGGAGCUACCACUUCAAUGAGUGCAAUCCCGCGGACUGACCCUCUGGUCUCUGUUUCAGCAACCUCUAUACAAUUCCACAAGUCCUCACAUUUGCUGGGGCAAAGCAGGCAGGAAAGCAUCACUGGUGGCUGCGAGUACUUGUCUACACUAGAACUACACACCACUGUCAUUAAGGCCAGAGCCUCUGGCUUCUUGAGACUCUCCUGCUGGACACUCUGCUUCCCAAGCUGCUCCUUCAAAGCAUUCUGCACUCUUAAAAUUGUGGUAUCUUGUGCGCUACCUAACACAUUGCCUGCUUGCUGGUAGAAGCUCAGUGGAUAUCUGCAUUACAGCCCAGUGAGGAACAACUUGGCUUCCUUCCCUUCCUAAAGGACUUCCAUCUGGAUCCCAACUGCCUCAAAAUGAGGGUGUGUAAGCACUAAGUAAAGGAUGGGGUGAGAAGGUGAUGAAUAGAAGUGAAUUCAUGUCCAAAGGGAGGAGUGGAUGUGAGAGGUGCCCCAAGGCCUCACCUGGGGUCCUGCUGCCCAGUGCUGCCCCUGCCAUAGAGCGGGAUGACUUUAUCUCGGCUGAUGCCAGCUUUGCAAACUGGACACACCUGUCUGUUAGGUCUGGUCUCCAACCACUGAAAACAGGAGAGAAAAAUGCAUGAAUGAUAUAAACUCACUACAGAGUGGUCACAGCCAGAAGAAAAACAUGGACCGGACACCUCAAACUGGAAACACCAGCACCAGUAGGGAAUACUUCAAGGAACCCAACUCUCUGAUUCCUGCUCCUGGCACUCAAUAAAUAUUUACUACU